rnacentral:rRNA from 1 species
UACGUAGGGGGCAAGCGUUGUCCGGAUUUAUUGGGCGUAAAGAGCGUGUAGGCGGCCAUGUAGGUCCGUUGUGAAAACUCGAGGCUCAACCUCGAGACGCCGAUGGAAACCAUGUGGCUAGAGUCCGGAAGAGGAGAGUGGAAUUCCUGGUGUAGCGGUGAAAUGCGCAGAUAUCAGGAGGAAUACCGAUGGCGAAGGCAGGUCUCUGGGCAUUAACUGACGCUGAGGAGCGAAAGCAUGGGGAGCGAACAGG